UUGUGAGUUCAGCUGCUGAUGUUGUUGAGAAAUAGGACUCAUUGCUUCUAAACGAAUGAAGAGAAAUGUGUGAUGGGAAGAAGGAGAUAGUUUGGCAUGGAGGACAUGAAGAGGAACUUUUGAAAUUACCUUUCCAAAGGAGGUGAAUACAAUAUUUGAGGUCUGAGCUGACUGGAAUUAUUAUAGAUCUUCAGCACCUUGGCCUCAGGAAUAUUCCCAGAAGACUUUCAUAGGAAUUUUAAAGAGGAGAAACUGACGACAAACUCCUGAACUGUUGGAUAACCAAUCAACUGUGGCCUCAAAGGAAUUCCAGGCUGCUAACUCCAGUUUUAGACUUCUGGACGUCAUCUUAAAAGCAAAGACAUUGAUAAACUGCCUGGAGAGUGGCAGGAGGCCUCUGGCAGCAGCAACAGCACACCCAGGAUGAGCCAGACAGGGCUCCACCAUGGGGAGCAGGUCCCAGGCUGACUCAGCUGGCUGGGACUUGCAGACUGAGCUGAGGGCCCAGGUCUGUGGCUAGGCCUGAUCGCCUGUAGGAGUUGAAGUGUCAGUGGAAGGGACGGCGGAGGACCUUGACAACUGAUGAGCAGCAGCAAAGUGUAGAGGAGGAGUGUCGUUUGGGGAACAGGAGAUACAGAGCCCCAAGCCCAUGGCUCCAGAUCGGACACUGCAGUUGUGAUUAUGAGACUUCAGGAGUCCUUUUCAGGGACUCUGGCCAAUGUCAAGCAAUGACUGGAGAAGCAGCAGAGGAGGAACAAGUAGUAGAGAGAAAGGUGAACUGUAUUGCAGUAAAAUCUUGCUUUAUAAUUAAAAUUUCAAGAUGGCGCUGGAGCGUGGGGACACUUUGCAUAUGACAUGCAAAGAUACUUUUCACUUUUUUAUACA